GAAGUAUGGAGGGUGAGGCCUGCCCAAUGGUUGUAUCUAAAAGCGGUUGAUAAAAGUCGACCGUGUAAGGACAAUUGAAUGGCCGCGGUAACACUGACCGUGAUAAUGUAGCGUAAUCAAUAGCCAAUUAAUUGUUGGCCAGUAUGAAUGGCGCCACGAAGGCCCCACUGUCUUAAGGAAAUUCCCAGUGAAAUUGAAUUCGUAGUGAAGAUGCUACGUCCAAUUUGUUAGACGAAAAGACCCCGUUGAGCUUUACUGGGGCACUUACACGGCCCCGGCCUUCAAAACUGGGUUGAUAAGCCAAGGCUUACCAUACCUAGGGACCGGCCGAAUUUAAAUGGGCGGCUUAGACUAUGUGGCAGCCCCCCCCGUCGGGGCAGAUGAAACCCCACUCCCCCAUGUCAAAGGGGCUAACCCCCCCCCUUGGGGGGGACAGUGUAAGUAGGACAGUUUGGUUGGGGCGACCGCCUUUUAGAGAGUAACGAAGGUGCGCUUAAGGUGCGUAAUUAAUGACUGAAGCCUGACUGCGAGGGGGACACCCCGAGCAGACACCCCCAAGCCCGCCCUCGCCUUCGUACCAACGGAGGGAGGGCGGCGGUGGGGUGGGCCAUAGUGACCCGUUAAUUUAGAGUGGAAUAGUUAACGAUCAACGAAUAAAAGUUACCACGGGGAUAACAGCGUAAUAUCGUUAGAGAGUUCACAUCGACGACGAUGUUUGCGACCUCGA
rnacentral:rRNA from 1 species